rnacentral:rRNA from 1 species
CCUACGGGAGGCAGCAGUGGGGGAUAUUGCACAAUGGGGGAAACCCUGAUGCAGCGACGCCGCGUGGGUGAAGAAGUAUUUCGGUAUGUAAAGCCCUAUCAGCAGGGAAGAAAGAAGACGGUACCUGACUAAGAAGCCCCGGCUAACUACGUGCCAGCAGCCGCGGUAAUACGUAGGGGGCGAGCGUUAUCCGGAUUCACUGGGUGUAAAGGGAGCGUAGACGGCCGUGCAAGCCAGGAGUGAAAGCCCGGGGCCCAACCCCGGGACUGCUCUUGGAACUGUGCGGCUGGAGUGCGGGAGGGGCAGGCGGAAUUCCUGGUGUAGCGGUGAAAUGCGCAGAUAUCAGGAGGAACACCGGCGGCGAAGGCGGCCUGCUGGACCGCGACUGACGUUGAGGCUCGAAAGCGUGGGGAGCGAACAGGAUUAGAUACCCGGGUAGUC